AUGUGCCCCAGCCCCACAUUCACCUGCCGAAGGGCUUUCCCCUUGCAGCAUCCUGUCUUGGGCUUGUGCAAGAAUCUCCCAUCACUGCCUCCUGCUGGGAGGCAGGAUCUACAAACCAAUCUACAAACAUGCUUUAGUGCCUCCCAGUCAGCUAUCCCCAUUUGUAGCAAAACUGUCUCGCUAAGAAUUAGCUACAUUUUGCUUCCGUUCACUCUUCAGCCUAUGCCACUGCGGCUCGCAGACCUACCCCACUCUGAAGCUAAUCUCAAAGUCACCCAGGAGGUCCAUGGUCGGGAGUCAGGCUCCAUGGACACCAAAUGACUCCCUCUUCCCAGACACACCUGGAGCAGCUCCCUUUGCCUGGAAGGACCUCACAGUUUCCGUGGACCGAUCACCUCACUGCCUUUCCUGCAUGACCGUCCUGCCCCUGGGGCCACACUCAGCAGCUCAGCAUCUUGGCUCUCUCCUCUUCCUCCCAACUCCCAGCUCUCCUGCAGGACUGACAUGUCCCUUCCUGCGGUAGCAUCUCCCAGUGGGUCUGCUUAGAGAGCCUGGCUUCUGAUCAGAGAAGCCCAAAAAUAGAGGAACAACUUAACUUUCACAACAAUGAAAUAAACGCAACUUUUCUAGGAAAGAAUUCUGCUGC
rnacentral:lncRNA from 1 species